ACCUGCGGAGGGAUCAUUACUGAGUGAGGGCCUUCGGGCUCGACCUCCAACCCUUUGUGAACACAACUUGUUGCUUCGGGGGCGACCCUGCCGUUUCGACGGCGAGCGCCCCCGGAGGCCUUCAAACACUGCAUCUUUGCGUCGGAGUUUAAGUAAAUUAAACAAAACUUUCAACAACGGAUCUCUUGGUUCUGGCAUCGAUGAAGAACGCAGCGAAAUGCGAUAAGUAAUGUGAAUUGCAGAAUUCAGUGAAUCAUCGAAUCUUUGAACGCACAUUGCGCCCCUUGGUAUUCCGAGGGGCAUGCCUGUUCGAGCGUCAUUUCACCACUCAAGCCUCGCUUGGUAUUGGGCGCCGCGGUGUUCCGCGCGCCUCAAAGUCUCCGGCUGAGCUGUCCGUCUCUAAGCGUUGUGAUUUCAUUAAUCGCUUCGGAGCGCGGGCGGUCGCGGCCGUUAAAUCUUUCACAAGGUUGACCUCGGAUCAGGUAGGGAUACCCGCUGAACUUAAGCAUAUCAAA
rnacentral:rRNA from 1 species